UGAAGAGUAAAAAUACGGGCGUUAAGUGUUGGCUGAACGGGGAGUUGUCGGUCAAACGAAAAAUCCUAUGGAUUUGCGGUUCGUGUUUUGCAUCCCGCUUCA
rfam:Ruminococcus sp. CAG:624 genomic scaffold, scf318